UACGUAGGGUGCGAGCGUUAAUCGGAAUUACUGGGCGUAAAGCGUGCGCAGGCGGUUUUGUAAGCCAGAUGUGAAAGCCCCGGGCUUAACCUGGGAAUGGCAUUUGGGACUGCAAGGCUUGAGUGCGGCAGAGGAGACUGGAAUUUACGGUGUAGCGGUGAAAUGCGUAGAUAUCGUAAGGAAGACCAGUGGCGAAGGCGGGUCUCUGGACAGUUCCUGACGCUGAGGCACGAAGGUCAGGGGAGCAAACGGG
rnacentral:rRNA from 1 species